rnacentral:rRNA from 1 species
CCUACGGGAGGCAGCAGUGGGGAAUAUUGCACAAUGGGGGAAACCCUGAUGCAGCGACGCCGCGUGAGUGAAGAAGUAAUUCGUUAUGUAAAGCUCUAUCAGCAGGGAAGAAAAUGACGGUACCUGAGUAAGGAACCCCGGCUAACUACGUGCCAGCAGCCGCGGUAAUACGUAGGGGGCCAGCGUUAACCGGGUUUACUGGGUGUAAAGGGGGCGUAGACGGCCGUGCAAGUCUGGAGUGAAAGGCGGGGGCUCAACCCCCGGAGUGCUCUGGAAACUGUACGGCUGGAGUGCAGGAGAGGUAAGUGGAAUUCCUAGUGUAGCGGUGAAAUGCGUAGAGAUUAGGAGGAACACCAGUGGCGAAGGCGGCUUACUGGACUGUAACUGACGUUGAGGCUCGAAAGCGUGGGGAGCAAACAGGAUUAGAUACCCGUGUAGUC